rnacentral:tRNA from 1 species
GCCUCUUUACCGAGAUUCGCACUUACCCCGCCGGAUCGCCCUUACAAGGCGAAUGUCGGCGGUUCGAGCCCGUCAGCACCCACCA